GUAACUAGUCAUUUCAAGCUUGCAAUUGGGAUGCUGGUUGCUACAGUAACAGCCAUAUUGAACAGCUGCCCGACUGCUAAGCAGGCAAAGCAAAUCCAUGCACAGAUUAUUGUUUGUGCUCUUAAUAAUCUUGAGCCUCUCUUGGUUCGACAAAUCCUUCUCUCUGCUUCCACUUAUUCUACAACUGUUGCUCAAUAUGUCCUCAAAAUCCUUUACCAUUUGCAUUGUCCAGACGCCUUCUCAUGGGGUUUCACUGUUAGAUAUUUCUCCCAGCAAGCCCAAUUCAAGGAAGCCUUGUACCUCUACUUUCAAAUGUUUAAACAAGGACUUUGUCCAAGCACAUUUGCUAUAUCGUCCGCUUUAAGGGCAAGUGCUAGGAUUGUAUGUAGGACUGAAGGAAUAUUAAUUCAUGCGCAAAGUUUUAAGUAUGGUUUCUGUGGUUGUGUUUAUGUACAAACUGCCCUCGUAGAUUUAUAUUCAAAAUUGGGUGAUAUGAACACUGCACUGAAGGUAUUUGAUGAGAUGCUGGUGAAGAAUGCGGUUUCAUGGAAUUCAAUUUUAUCUGGGUAUUUGAAAUUAGGGCAUUUGGAAGAGGCUCAGCGUGUGUUUAACCAGAUACCAAGGAAAGAUGUUGUGUCCUGGAAUUCAAUGUUAUCAGGAUAUGCAAAAAGUGGAGAUAUGGACCAGGCUUGCCUUUUGUUUGAACAGAUGCCAGAGAGAAAUUAUGCUUCUUGGAAUGCAAUGAUUAGUGGGUAUGUGGACUGUGGGAAGAUAGAAUCAGCACAAAAGCUUUUUGCUGAAAUGCCCCAAAGAAAUAACGUUUCCUGGAUUACAAUGAUUGCUGGGUACUCCAAAUUCGGUUUUGUUGAAUCUGCUUGGGAACUAUUUAAUCAGAUGCCUGAAAAGGAUCUUAUCUCGUUUAAUGCCAUGAUAUCUUGCUUUGCUCAAAAUAACCGGCCAACAGAGGCUCUUAAAUUGUUCAAUGAGAUGCUUAAAGCUGAUGUAAAUAUUCAACCAGAUGAGAUGACUUUAGUGAGUGUUGUGUCAGCUUGUUCACAACUGGGGGAUGUGAGGUAUGGAUCAUGGAUCGAGUCAUAUAUAAAUAAUUUUGGAAUCGAAUUUGAUGAUCAUUUAGUCACUGCUUUAAUUAACCUUUAUGCAAAGUGUGGGAACAUUGGUAAGGCGUAUGAGCUAUUUGAUGGCCUUAAGAAAAAGGAUGUGGUUGCUUACAGUGCAAUGAUCUUGGCAUGUGGCAUAAA
rnacentral:misc_RNA from 1 species